GCCAGCAGCCAUAUCUAUCUGCAACUGGCAGCCCACUAAAGCUAAGCAGGUGUGAGCCUGGUCAGUACCUGGAUGUGAGACCUCCUGGGAAAAACUAAGGUUGCUGCUGGAU
rnacentral:rRNA from 1 species